UACGGGGGGGGCAAGCGUUGUUCGGAAUUACUGGGCGUAAAGGGCUCGUAGGCGGCCUACUAAGUCAGACGUGAAAUCCCUCGGCUUAACCGGGGAACUGCAUCUGAUACUGGAUGGCUUGAGUUCGGGAGAGGGAUGCGGAAUUCCAGGUGUAGCGGUGAAAUGCGUAGAUAUCUGUAGGAACACCGGUGGCGAAGGCGGCUCUCUGGAGCGCAACUGACGCUGAGACGCGAAAGCGUGGGGAGCAAACAGG
rnacentral:rRNA from 1 species